UCUCUUGAUUUGGUGCAUUUCCAUUGAAAACGAACUCUCAAAAAGAAGAGCAGGAAGGAAAACGGCCAGUAAAAUGUCAGGAUCAAUGUUUGCCCAAAUACGGAUGCUGUCCCCAAUCUUUCCCAAUUGAUGACUUGUACCAUAUUCGUUAAAAUUAAUAUUUCGAAGCAAAAACUAUGGAAGAAAGUGAAAAUGGAGAUGGGUAAACCUAAGGAUCCAAGAGCAAUGCCUAUGGCAAGCAGAGCAACAGUGUAAGGAACUCUAGUUCCACGCAAGGCAUGCCUGGAAGCAACCCCAAGAACCAAACAUAACCCAAAGAAAAUGACGGCGUCUGUUGGAUUGGAAUUCUCAGAAGGAAAAGAAGAGGUAUCAUGAACCAAAAUUUUGAACGGAAACUGGCCCUCGAUCACAAUCGCCAUUUAAUUUUCAGUGGGAAAAAAAAAAAAAGGCUAUCCUCACAGAGGGAGAAGAGACCAAAGAAGCUAAAAAUUGAGCUCAGUUCUGG
rnacentral:misc_RNA from 1 species